AGUGAACGCUGGCGGUAGGCCUAACACAUGCAAGUCGAACGGCAGCACAGUAAGAGCUUGCUCUUACGGGUGGCGAGUGGCGGACGGGUGAGGAAUACAUCGGAAUCUACUUUUUCGUGGGGGAUAACGUAGGGAAACUUACGCUAAUACCGCAUACGACCUACGGGUGAAAGCAGGGGAUCUUCGGACCUUGCGCGAUUGAAUGAGCCGAUGUCGGAUUAGCUAGUUGGCGGGGUAAAGGCCCACCAAGGCGACGAUCCGUAGCUGGUCUGAGAGGAUGAUCAGCCACACUGGAACUGAGACCCGGUCCAGACUCCUACGGGGGGCAGCAGUGGGGAAUAUUGGACAAUGGGCGCAAGCCUGAUCCAGCCAUACCGCGUGGGUGAAGAAGGCUUUCGGGUUGUAAAGCCCUUUUGUUGGGAAAGAAAAGCAGCAGGUUAAUACCCCGCUGUUCUGACGGUACCCAAAGAAUAAGCACCGGCUAACUUCGUG
rnacentral:rRNA from 1 species